rnacentral:rRNA from 1 species
CCUACGGGACGCAGCAGUGGGGAAUAUUGCACAAUGGGGGAAACCCUGAUGCAGCGACGCCGCGUGAGUGAAGAAGCGCCUCGGCGCGUAAAGCUCUGUCAGCAGGAACGAUAAUGACGGUACCUGAAGAAGAAGCCCCGGCUAGCUACGUGCCAGCAGCCGCGGUAAUACGUAGGGGGCAAGCGUUAUCCGGAUUUACUGGGUGUAAAGGGGGCGCAGACGGCGAUGCAAGCCAUGAGUGAAAGCCCGGGGCCCAACCCCGGGACUGCUCUU